rnacentral:rRNA from 1 species
UACGAACCGUCCAAACGUUAUUCGGAUUUACUGGGCUUAAAGGGUGCGUAGGCGGCCCAGAAAGUUGGGUGUGAAAGCCCUCGGCUUAACCGAGGAAUUGCGCCCAAAACUACUGGGCUUGAGGAAGAUAGAGGUGAGCGGAACUUAGGGUGGAGCGGUGAAAUGCGUUGAUAUCCUAAGGAACACCUGUGGCGAAAGCGGCUCACUGGGUCUUUUCUGACGCUGAGGCACGAAAGCUAGGGGAGCGAAG